rfam:Schistosoma haematobium scaffold2973_2, whole genome shotgun sequence.
AGCCUUUUUAAUCCAUGCAGAGAUUUUACCAGACACCAACCCAUAAGAGUUGAUCAGACUUUCAAGAUAAGUGAAGUU